CAGCCAUGCCGCGUGUGUGAAGAAGGCCUUCGGGUUGUAAAGCACUUUCAGUCGUGAGGAAGGUAGUGUAGUUAAUAGCUGCAUUAUUUGACGUUAGCGACAGAAGAAGCACCGGCUAACUCCGUGCCAGCAGCCGCGGUAAUACGGAGGGUGCGAGCGUUAAUCGGAAUUACUGGGCGUAAAGCGCAUGCAGGUGGUUUGUUAAGUCAGAUGUGAAAGCCCGGGGCUCAACCUCGGAAUAGCAUUUGAAACUGGCAGACUAGAGUACUGUAGAGGGGGGUAGAAUUUCAGGUGUAGCGGUGAAAUGCGUAGAGAUCUGAAGGAAUACCGGUGGCGAAGGCGGCCCCCUGGACAGAUACUGACACUCAGAUGCGAAAGCGUGGGGAGCAAACAGGAUUAGAUACCCUGGUAGUCCACGCCGUAAACGAUGUCUACUUGGAGGUUGUGGCCUUGAGCCGUGGCUUUCGGAGCUAACGCGUUAAGUA
rnacentral:rRNA from 1 species